UACGGAGGGUGCGAGCGUUGUCCGGAAUUACUGGGCGUAAAGCGUGCGUAGGCGGUCUUUUAAGUCUGCUGUGAAAUCCCCGGGCUCAACCUGGGAAUGGCAGUGGAUACUGGGAGGCUAGAGUGUGUCAGAGGAUGGUGGAAUUCCCGGUGUAGCGGUGAAAUGCGUAGAGAUCGGGAGGAACAUCAGUGGCGAAGGCGGCCAUCUGGGACAACACUGACGCUGAGGCACGAAAGCGUGGGGAGCAAACAGG
rnacentral:rRNA from 1 species